GAUGAAGCGAGGAGGUGUUUAUGAUGCGGUCAUCACCUGUGAAGUUUUUCCAACAGUACUUUGCUGCGACACAAUCUGUUCGUUCUGGAUGGCUGGCUCGCCUGACGGUAGAGCAAAGACUAAGGAUGCUCGAAGACUUGAUGCAGUGGGAGGUUACAACCCCGAUGCCCGAAAAUACCCCCGCGCCGACUCAUGUGUGACUGAGUAUUGGUGCUUUUCACCGGCCAGCAGCUGUUUACUGCUGGCUUUUUUC
rfam:Cedecea davisae DSM 4568 genomic scaffold Scaffold0, whole genome shotgun sequence.